GACGUAGGGCGCGAGCGUUGUCCGGAUUUAUUGGGCGUAAAGAGCUCGUAGGCGGCUUGUCGCGUCGACUGUGAAAUCCCGCGGCUCAACUGCGGGUCUGCAGCCGAUACGGGCAGGCUAGAGUUCGGUAGGGGAGACUGGAAUUCCUGGUGUAGCGGUGAAAUGCGCAGAUAUCAGGAGGAACACCGGUGGCGAAGGCGGGUCUCUGGGCCGAUACUGACGCUGAGGAGCGAAAGCGUGGGGAGCGAACGGGAUUAGAACUUACCCGAG
rnacentral:rRNA from 1 species